AUUUAAAUAGUUUAAUUAAAAUUUUGAUUUGUGGAAUCAAGGAUGUAAGAUAGAGUACUUUAAAUA
rnacentral:tRNA from 1 species